rnacentral:rRNA from 1 species
CAGAGACUGCAAGCGUUAUUCGGAUUCACUGGGCGUAAAGGGUGCGCAGGCGGUUGGGUGUGUCAGAUGUGAAAUCCCGAGGCUUAACCUCGGAAUUGCGUCUGAAACUACUCGACUAGAGUACUGGAGAGGGUAACGGAAUUCACGGUGUAGCAGUGAAAUGCGUAGAUAUCGUGAGGAACACCAGAGGCGAAGGCGGUUACCUGGACAGUUACUGACGCUCAGGCACGAAAGCAUGGGGAGCAAAAGGGAUUAGAUACCCCUGUAGUCCAUGCCCUAAACGGUGCACACUAGGUCUUAGCGGAUUCGACCCCACUAGGGCCCAAGCUAACGCGUUAAGUGUGCCGCCUGAGGACUACGGUCGCAAGACUA